GAUGAACGCUGGCGGCGUGCCUAAUACAUGCAAGUCGAGCGAACAGACGAGGAGCUUGCUCCUCUGACGUUAGCGGCGGACGGGUGAGUCACACGUGGAUAACCUACCUAUAAGACUGGGAUAACUUCGGGAAACCGGAGCUAAUACCGGAUAAUAUAUUGAACCGCAUGGUUCAAUAGUGAAAGACGGGUUUGCUGUCAAUUAUCGAUGGAUCCGCGCCGCAUUAGCUAGUUGGUAAGGUAACGGCUUACCAAGGCGCCGAUGCGUAGCCGACCUGAGAGGGUGAUCGGCCACACUGGAACUGAGACACGGUCCAGACUCCUACGGGAGGCAGCAGUAGGGAAUCUGCCGCAAUGGGCGAAAGCCUGACGGAGCAACGCCGCGUGAGUGAUGAAGGUCUUCGGAUCGUAAAACUCUGUUAUUAGGGAAGAACAAAUGUGUAAGUAACUAUGCACGUCUUGGCGGUACCUAAUCAGAAAGCCACGGCUAACUACGUG
rnacentral:rRNA from 1 species